UGACUGCCACAGGGGAAGAUUUCUUCCUGGAGAAUUCUCUGGUGGAGCUUUCCUCUGUGAACCUGGAAUCUUCUGAUAUGGGUGCCAAGCAUUUAAUGAUGUUGCAGCUAAUCGUGCAAAGGUCCUUCUUUGAGAGACUUAAUGAUACUCCACCAUCUGUGUGACAAGAGAGGGGACUCCACAUUGCGUUGCAUUCUUUGCGAGAGCUUCUAGAGGAACACCAAAUGCUCGUUCUCUGCUGAACUGUGGAUCUGG